rnacentral:rRNA from 1 species
CCGUUCCCAGAGAUGGAUCUUUCACUUCGGUGACCUAGUGACAGGUGCUGCAUGGCUGUCGUCAGCUCGUGUCGUGAGAUGUUCGGUUAAGUCCGGCAACGAGCGCAACCCACAUCCUUAGUUGCCAGCAGUUCGGCUGGGCACUCUAGGGAAACUGCCCGUGAUAAGCGGGAGGAAGGUGUGGAUGACGUCAAGUCCUCAUGGCCCUUACGGGUUGGGCUACACACGUGCUACAAUGGCAGUGACAAUGGGUUAAUCCCAAAAAACUGUCUCAGUUCGGAUUGGGGUCUGCAACUCGACCCCAUGAAGUCGGAAUCGCUAGUAAUCGCGUAACAGCAUGACGCGGUGAAUACGUUCCCGGGCCUUGUACACACCGCCCGUCACACCAUGGGAGUUGGUUCUACCCGACGGCCGUGCGCUAACCUUUUGGAGGCAGCGGACCACGGUAGGAUCAGCGACUGGGGUGAAGUCGUAACAAGGUAACCGUAAAGGGCGAAU